rnacentral:rRNA from 1 species
GACAGAGGGUGCAAACGUUGUUCGGAAUUACUGGGCGUAAAGCGCGUGUAGGCGGCCCUGCAAGUCGGAUGUGAAAUCCCACGGCUCAACCGUGGAAGUGCAUUCGAAACUGCAGGGCUAGAGUCCUGGAGAGGAAGGUGGAAUGCUUGGUGUAGAGGUGAAAUUCGUAGAUAUCAAGCGGAACACCGGUGGCGAAGGCGGCCUUCUGGACAGUGACUGACGCUGAGACGCGAAAGCUAGGGGAGCAAACGGG